rnacentral:rRNA from 1 species
AGAGUUUGAUCCUGGCUCAGAACGAACGCUGGCGGCGCGUCUUAAGCAUGCAAGUCGAACGGCAAGAGAGGAGCUUGCUUCUCUCCUAGAGUGGCGGACUGGUGAGGAACACGUGGGUAAUCUACCCUUAAGAUGGGGAUAGCUGUUAGAAAUAGCAGGUAAUACCGAAUACACUCGAUAGUUCAUAAGAAGUAUUGAGGAAAGGAAGCUACGGCUUCGCUUGAGGAUGAGCUUGCGUCCCAUUAGCUAGUUGGUGAGGUAAAGGCCCACCAAGGCGACGAUGGGUAUCCGGCCUGAGAGGGUGAACGGACACAUUGGGACUGAGAUACGGCCCAAACUCCUACGGGAGGCAGCAGCUAAGAAUAUUCCGCAAUGGACGGAAGUCUGACGGAGCGACGCCGCGUGGAUGAAGAAGGCUGAAAAGUUGUAAAAUCCUUUUGUUGAUGAAGAAUAAGGGGAAGAGGGAAUGCUUCUCUGAUGACGGUAGUCGGCGAAUAAGCCCCGGCUAAUUACGUGCCAGCAGCCGCGGUAACACGUAAGGGGCGAGCGUUGUUCGGAAUUAUUGGGCGUAAAGGGCAUGUAGGCGGUUAUGUAAGCCUGAUGUGAAAUCCUGGGGCUUAACCCCAGAAUAGCAUUGGGUACUGUGUAACUUGAAUUACGGAAGGGAAACUGGAAUUCCAAGUGUAGGGGUGGAAUCUGUAGAUAUUUGGAAGAACACCGGUGGCGAAGGCGGGUUUCUGGCCGAUAAUUGACGCUGAGAUGCGAAAGUGUGGGGAUCGAACAGGAUUAGAUACCCUGGUAGUCCACACCGUAAACGAUGUACACUAGGUGUUGGGGCAAGAGCUUCAGUGCCAAAGCAAACGCGAUAAGUGUACCGCCUGGGGAGUAUGCCCGCAAGGGUGAAACUCAAAGGAAUUGACGGGGGCCC